GAUGAACGCUAGCGGCAGGCUUAAUACAUGCAAGUCGUGGGGCAGCGCAGGUAGCAAUACUGGGCGGCGACCGGCAAACGGGUGCGGAACACGUACACAACCUUCCGAGAAGUGGGGAAUAGCCCAGAGAAAUUUGGAUUAAUACCCCGUAACAUAACGAUGUGGCAUCACAUUGUUAUUAUAGCUUCGGCGCUUCUUGAUGGGUGUGCGGCUGAUUAGAUAGUCGGCGGGGUAACGGCCCACCAAGUCUACGAUCAGUAGCUGAUGUGAGAGCAUGAUCAGCCACACGGGCACUGAGACACGGGCCCGACUCCUACGGGAGGCAGCAGUAAGGAAUAUUGGUCAAUGGACGCAAGUCUGAACCAGCCAUGCCGCGUGAAGGAUUAGGGUCCUCUGGAUUGUAAACUUCUUUUAUCUGGGACGAAAAAAGGCGAUUCUUCGUCACUUGUCGGUACCAGAUGAAUAAGCACCGGCUAACUCCGUGCCAGCCGCCGCCGUAAUAC
rnacentral:rRNA from 1 species